UACGAAGGGUGCAAGCGUUACUCGGAAUUACUGGGCGUAAAGCGUGCGUAGGCGGUUUGUUAAGUCUGUCGUGAAAGCCCCGGGCUCAACCUGGGAAUGGCGAUGGAGACUGCGAGGCUAGAGUUUGGCAGAGGGGGGUAGAAUUCCACGUGUAGCAGUGAAAUGCGUAGAGAUGUGGAGGAACACCGAUGGCGAAGGCAGCCCCCUGGGUCAAAACUGACGCUCAUGCACGAAAGCGUGGGGAGCAAACAGG
rnacentral:rRNA from 1 species